CUCCGGUUGAUCCUGCCGGACCUGACUGCUAUCGGAUUGGUACUAAGCCAUGCGAGUCAUUGUAGCAAUACAAGGCGGACGGCUCAGUAACACGUAGUCAACCUAACUCGUGGACGUGGAUAACCUCGGGAAACUGAGAAUAAACCACGAUAGACCAUAGUGCCUGGAAUGGCUUAUGGUCCAAACAGUUUACUGCCAUGGGAUGGGACUGCGGCCUAUCAGCUUGUUGGUGAGGUAAUGGCCCACCAAGGCGAUUACAGGUACGGGCUCUGAGAGGAGAAGCCCGGAGAUGGGUACUGAGACACGGACCCAGGCCCUAUGGGGCGCAGCAGGCGAGAAACCUUAGCAAUGUGCGAAAGCACGACUGGGUCAGUCCGAGUGAUUCCUGAUAAAGGAGUCUUUUGCUUGUCCUAAAAGCACAGGUGAAUAAGGGGUGGGCAAGUCUGGUGUCAGCCGCCGCGGUAAUACCAGCACCUCGAGUGGUCAGGACGUUUAUUGGGCCUAAAGCAUCCGUAGCCGGCUUUGCAAGUCUUCGGUUAAAUCCACCUGCUCAACAGAUGGGCUGCUGGAGAUACUACAAAGCUAGGGAGUGGGAGAGGCAGACGGUAUUCAGUGGGUAGGGGUAAAAUCCUCUGAUCCAUUGAGGACCACCAGUGGCGAAGGCGGUCUGCCAGAACACGUUCGACGGCGAGGGAUGAAAGCUGGGGGAGCAAACCGGAUUAGAUACCCGGGUAGUCCCAGCUGUAAACGAUGCAAACUCGGUGAUGCAUUGGCUUAUGGCCAAUGCAGUGCCGCAGGGAAGCCGUUAAGUUUGCCGCCUGGGAAGUACGGACGCAAGUCUGAAACUUAAAGGAAUUGGCGGGGGAGCA
rnacentral:rRNA from 1 species